rnacentral:rRNA from 1 species
GACGAACCGUGCGAACGUUGUUCGGAUUCACUGGGCUUAAAGGGCGCGUAGGCGGGCACGCCAGUCGGUGGUGAAAUCCCCCAGCUCAACUGGGGAAUGGCCUCCGAUACUGCGUGCCUCGAGGGGGGUAGGGGUCGACGGAACUUCCGGUGGAGCGGUGAAAUGCGUAGAUAUCGGAAGGAACGCCGGUGGCGAAAGCGGUCGACUGGACCCCUUCUGACGCUGAGGCGCGAAAGCCAGGGGAGCAAACGGG